rnacentral:rRNA from 1 species
GACGUAGGGGACGAGCGUUGUCCGGAUUCAUUGGGCGUAAAGAGCGCGCAGGCGGUCGUUCAAGUCGCGUGUGAAAGCCCCCGGCUCAACUGGGGAGGGUCACGCGAUACUGAUCGACUCGAAGGCAGGAGAGGGUAGUGGAAUUCCCGGUGUAGUGGUGAAAUGCGUAGAUAUCGGGAGGAACACCAGUGGCGAAGGCGACUACCUGGCCUGUUCUUGACGCUGAGGCGCGAAAGCUAGGGGAGCAAACGGG